CUAUUCUUUCACCCCCUCCACAGGUCUCUGCUGAGCCCUCACAAGUUGGGGUAUGUGUGGAUGAAGGAGAGUGGACAAAGGGAACGUGAUCAGGACUGACUGAACCAAACUCAAGAAGGCUCUACUUUGGCAGGAACAGACUAUCAACUGAAAAACAACAUUUAUUGAGAGUGUCUUUGCUGUUAUAUGGAUAUCAGCAGUUGAGUUUACUAGCAAGCCUCUGAACAUGAAACAGCAGCUUGAGUCCAGUGCACUUGGUGAACACUGUACAUGAAUCAGCAACAGCAAUUUGAUGAGAAUAAACCACGAUGUCAGCAUGAGUCCAUGGAAGCAGCAAUAAGUCACCAGCAUAUCAUGAGAGGUUCAUUGAUGAGUUACUCUCUACAAAAGCAUGACAAUGGAAGAUCAACAAUACAGUGCAAGGCCAACUAAUUUCAGAGUGACAUUUGUCAGCAGAGACUAACAAGGCAGUGCAAGAUGAACCAAAGAGCAACCUUUGUCCUACUGUCUGUUGCUAUAUUUAUAUUUUUUCUAAACAUCACAUGUCUCUUUUAAAGAAACAUCUUUUCACCUGUGUCUGUUUCAGUAAAACAUUAUUUCAUCUGUUUGCUUUAACAAAAUAUUAUUUCAUCUGUCUGCCCCAGCAAAACAUCAUUAUGACCUAACUGAUUCACCAAAGAAACCAGAAAUUUCUACUUUAUAACUCUUACAAAGGCAAACAAGUAAUGGCUUAUAGUUUCAGAAGGUCAGUCCAUUAUCAUCAUGGUGGGAAACAUGGCAGCAUACAGGCAGACAUAGUGCUGCAGGAGCCAAGAGGUAUACAUUUUGAUAUGAAGGUAGCCAGGAAGAGUCUAGAUUUCAUACUGGGCAGAGCCUUAGCAUAUAUAUUUGACCUCAAAGCCUACCUCUACUGACACAUUUCCUCCAACAAUGCCAUACCUACUCCAAUAAAGCCACACUUCCUAAUAGUGCCACUCCAUAUGGGCCAAGAAUUCAAACAUAUGAAUCUAUUGAAGAGAGAAGUACAUAUUCAAUCUACCAUAGAAUGAUGGCUUUAAUCUUACCACAUAAAAUCAUCAUAUAGACUAGAUUGAGCUUAUUUUUAGGUAUGUGAACAGUCUGAGGCAUAACAGGCUUUAGGUUUUUAGGUGAAAGAAUUCAUAUAUACAAAUUAAACAUGGACUAAUACUUAAGGAUUUUGACGUGUAUGAUAUUUCUCGUUUUUAAAAGUUUUAUUGAUACUUUGAGUUUUAUUCUUGCUCAUCUCCCAUUCCCUCAUAUCUAUCCUUCAUCCUUGCAACCCCUCCCAAUAAAACACACAAGCAAAUAAACAUGCAAAACAUACAAAAUAUCUCAUCUUGUCUGGGAAGCUGUAGUGUGUCACAGUGUGUCCUGAUGUUUGGUUUUUAGACCCAGGAAUGAGGAACUAAUGUGCAUAUUUUACGUACCAAAGCCGACCUGGCCUCCAGGUUCUACCAGCAUCCAGCAUACCUACCCAAACUACCCUACCUAGUUUGGAGGUUUUUAAGAAACUUUGCCAUGGAUGACUUUGAUCAUUUGAUUCUGCUGCCUCCAUCUCCUGAGUGCUAGAAUUGUAGGCAUGUUCCACUGCAGUUUAUACAGUACUGGAGACCAAAUCCAGGGUUUUGUGAAUAUUAGGCAAACCCUUUAACAACUCAGCUAUACCCCUUU